CAGUCAACUUUGAUGGCUAAC
rnacentral:piRNA from 1 species